rnacentral:lncRNA from 1 species
UCUAACUUCAAAACAAAAACAAAUCCUUCUUGUAAAUAGGUAUGCUGUAAUUUUCAAAGUUCCAGGGCUAUCACCCAUUUUUGAAUCAAACCAAUAUUAAAUUGCUAGAUUUGGGUUUUGGACUUUUGAAUUCUCACCUAACUUAUUUUUUGGAUGCUAGUUACAGUUUAAAGCUGAGAGUUCUCCAAAGUGUGUGAAAUAAAGAAGCUGAAUUUUGAAUAGCAUUGUAUUUUUCUUGUGUUCAUAUUAUAGCAUAAGUGUGAAGAAAAAAUGGGUGCAAUUUGUUCAGCGGGAAUGGUUGAAGGAAAUGCCAGACAAGAUGGGAAGCUUUAGAAAGAAAACACUUUUUUUAAUAACUCUGGUACUCGUACAUCAGUAUCACCAGUUAGAGGCUCAUGGAGAGACAACAUAUAAAGUUUUGGAUAGCAUAUGAGUUCCAAUUAAUCUUGCAUUGCUAGUUCACGACAUCAACAAAAUCAUGUAUAUCAUCCAUGACUUCCUACAAA